CGGGCGCAGGUCCUGCGCGCCGCCCGCGAACUGCUGCGGGGGGCGAAGGAAGGCGCGCUCUUGGCUCAAUUUGACUAUUGUUCUUUUCCCGGCUGGGUCCCUAAUGAGUAAGAUGAGCUUCCGGGUGUCGCUUGAAAUCCCUUGGGUCUGCCUGCAAAUACGGCCUGUGUUAGGUGCGGUGGCAUUCCGAAUCAACGCGCGUCGCAACCUGAUUCUGUCCGACAGCUCCAGGUAUCCAGGCAUACUCGUGCUUUUCUUUGUCUUUAAGAGUCUGAAGUAAACAAACAUACGACAAUAAAAAUUUCGUCUAUAAAGAUGAAUUGCUUCUACUGUAAAGGCAUACAGGAGAUUCAGAUGAACCUCAAUCAAUAGUUUCUUGUGAGGUCCUGGUUCUAAGAGCAGACACGACAG
ensembl:lncRNA